CCAGACUCCUACGGGAGGCAGCAGUGAGGAGUAUUGGUCAAUGGGCGAGAGCCUGAACCAGCCAAGUCGCGUGAGGGAAGACGGUCCUAUGGAUUGUAAGCCUCUUUUGCCGGGGAGCAAAAAGCGGUACGUGUACCGCAUCGAGAGUACCCGGAGAAAAAGCAUCGGCUAACUCCGUGCCAGCAGCCGCGGUAAUACGUAGGGAGCAAGCGUUAUCCGGAUUUAUUGGGUGUAAAGGGUGCGUAGAUGGAUAAACAAGUUGUUUGUGAAAUACCUCGGCUCAACUGAGGAACUGCAAGCAAAACUGUAUAUCUUGAGUACUGGAGGGGAAAGCGGAAUUCCUAGUGUAGCGGUGAAAUGCGUAGAUAUUAGGAAGAACACCGGUGGCGAAGGCGGCUUUCUGGACAGAAACUGACAUUGAGGCACGAAAGUGUGGGGAGCAAACAGGAUUAGAUACCCCAGUA
rnacentral:rRNA from 1 species